rnacentral:lncRNA from 1 species
UAGCCCAGCCCCACUUCCUGUUCUCCCGCUCUACUUCCUGACAGUCUAUGCAGUGUGGACAGCUUUAUGUUACUACCACCAUCCACUCCCCUGCCAUGGUAGACUGUGUCAUUCUGAAACGACUCUGGCAUGUGUCUGCUGCACCAUAAGGUAAUGUACUGAAUAAAGACAGAAAGAGCCACGGAAGUCCCAGAGCUGAUCAAUAACAAGGCCUCUAAGGAGGUGUGUAAGCUCUGCCUUCAGAAGAGCAGUGAAAGAGUGGGGACCACGCACCUGGAGCAUCCCUGAGCAGUGCUGCAAGGUAGACAGUACCUGUUGUUACCAUAGGAUACAUGGAGAAGUUUGGGCCUGUUUAUCAGAUUGGGCC